GGAAGGACUCUCGUGUUUUUCAGCUAUGAAACUGCUGGUCCUCGCUCUGUGCCUCAUUGCCUUAAGUUAUGCCUUUCCUGUCUCUGAAGAAGAGAACGAUCGAGUCAAACGCUCAGGGAGUAAUGAGAUGGGCCAUUUCAUGCUUCAGUAUUUGUCUCAGUAUCAGUCUCAGUAUCCAGCAGUUUACCCCGGCUAUCAACCCAGCAAUCCCAUUUCUGCAUUCCUGCAGUUUCUGUUGUCAAGUCUUGCCAGUUUAAUUCCUCUCCCUCCGAUAGCAGGAAAGUGAGGCAACAGAUUGGAAGACAGACAAAAGCUGGAUUUAAGAUAAUGCUAUUGGUAGUUUUCUCAUGUUUGGCUUU